rnacentral:tRNA from 1 species
GGAUUGUGGCUCAGUGGUAGAGUGCUUGCCUAGCAUGUGCAAGGCCCUGGGUUCGAUCCUCAGUACCA